GUUGACCUCGAAUCGGGUAGGGAUACCCGCUGAACUUAAGCAUAUCAAUAAGCGGAGGAAAAGAAACCAACAGGGAUUGCCUCAGUAACGGCGAGUGAAGCGGCAACAGCUCAAAUUUGAAAUCGGGCGC
rnacentral:rRNA from 1 species